GGGUCAGCGAUUGGGGUGAAGUCGUAACAAGGUAGCCGUAGGAGAACCUGCGGCUGGAUCACCUCCUUUCUAUGGAGAAA
rnacentral:rRNA from 1 species